rnacentral:rRNA from 1 species
CGCACUGCCGACCGACGGCCCGGUAUAGGCACGACGCUAUAGCGCCUCCCAUUUUAAGGGCUAGUUGCUUCGGCAGGUGAGUUGUUACACACUCCUGAGCGGAUUCCGACCUCCAUGGCCACCGUCCUGCUGUCUUUAGCAACCAACUCCUUUUCGUGGGGUCCGAAAUGUGCGUCGUUUAGGCGCCGUAACCGGGCGUUUGGUUCAUCCCACAGCGCCAGUUCUGCUUACCAAAAAUGGCCCACUGGGCGCUCAGAUUCAAAAUAAAAUUAUUGCCGCGGCCUCAAUCAAGAAAUGCAGGCCGGGCGUCUCACCCAUUGAAAGUUUGAGAAUAGGUUGAGGUCGUUUCGACCCCAAGGUCUAAUCAUUCGCUUUACCGGAUGAAACUCCGUUUGUUCUCUUUGCGAGCACCAGCUAUCCUGAGGGAAACUUCGGGGGGAACCAGCAACUAGAUGGUUCGAUUAGUCUUUCGCCCCUAUACCCAACUCCGACGAUCGAUUUGCACGUCAGAAUCGCUGCGGACCUCCACCAGGGUUUCCCCUGGCUUCGUCCUGGCCAGGCAUAGGUCACCAUCUUUCGGGUCCCAACGUGUACGCUCUUGGUUCGUCCGGAGUGAAGCGGCCCCGAUGAGGGUGCAUCCGCGAGGGGUGAUCCCGUCUCGAACAGAGCGGGGGCAACCCCUGGGCGUCCGAAUGCUCGCGAGGCCCCGGCCAAACGGGGUGCCGAGUCGGCCGGACGAACCAAGAGCGUACACGUUGGGACCCGAAAGAUGGUGACCUAUGCCUGGCCAGCACGAAGCCAGGGGAAACCCUGGUGGAGGUCCGCAGCGAUUCUGACGUGCAAAUCGAUCGUCGGAGUUGGGUAUAGGGGCGAAAGACUAAUCGAACCAUCGAGUAGCUGGUUCCCCCCCAAGUUUCCCUCAGGAUAGCUGGUGCUCGCAAAGAGAACAAACGGUUUCAUCCGGUAAAGCGAAUGAUUAGAGGCCUUUGGGUCGAAACGACCUCAACCUAUUCUCAAACUUUCAAUGGGUGAGAAGACCGGCCUGCAUUUCUUGAUUGAGGCCGUGGCAAUAAUUUUAUUUUGAAUCUGAGCGCCCAGUGGGCCAUUUUUGGUAAGCAGAACUGGCGCUGUGGGAUGAACCAAACGCCCGGGUAAGGCGCCUAAACGACGCACAUUUCGGAUCCCACGAAAAGAAGUUGGUUGCUAAAGACAGCAGGACGGUGGCCAUGGAGGUCGGAAUCCGCUCAGGAGUGUGUAAAAACUCACCUGCCGAAGCAACUAGCUCUUAAAAUGGGAGGCGCUAUAGCGUCGUGCCUAUACCGGGCCGUCGGUCGGCAGUGCGAAUAAACGUCCGUGUCAGCUCGCAGAGAGCGACGGCGCUGAGGCCCCGACGAGUAGGGGGGGUCGCGACGGGGAGCGUUGAAGGGUUGUGGGCGUGAGCCUGCCCGGAGCCGCCGUCGGUGCAGAUCUUGGUGGUAGUAGCAAAUACUCCAGAGGGAUCCUGGAGGACUGACGCGGAGAAGGGUUUCAUGUGAACAGUGGUUGGACAUGAGUCAGUCGAUCCUAAGCCGCAGGCGAGCCGGCCUAGUGACGGGCGUGAUGCUAGUGUGCUCUUUUUCUUUCUUUUUUUGGGAGGAUUCGGCGCGCGCUUCUUUCCCUCUUUCGUUUCUAUAGUCCCUAGCCAGAUGGGUGAAAGGAAAGAAAGGAGAGUUGCGUGUUUGUUGAAAAGAACCGGAGGAGAAAAAAAAUCAUGCGAAACUGAAACGCGAGCCGCCCCCAAGGUUAAGGCGAAAGGGGAUCCGGUCCUGAUUCCGGAAGCGGGCUGCGGCUACGUCCGCGAUAAAACGCCUUAACCUUGGUAAUGUCACGGUCGCGGUAACCCGACACAAACCGGAGAAGCUGCCGAGAACCCCCGGGAAGAGUUUUCUUUUCUGCUUGAGGGACCGAGACCCUGGAAUCCCGUCGCGGGGCGAGAGGGUUAUGGAUUUAGCUGUCAAAGGCUAUCCCGAAGAGCGUCGCGUUUCUGCGACGUCCGUGGUCGUUCUCGGCUGGCCCUUGAAAAUCCGGCGGGAGGGUUACGUUGUUGGCCGUUCGCCCCCGUCCGUACCGAUACCCGCAUCAGGGCUCCAAGGUGAACAGCCUCUAGUCGAUGGAUGAAUGUGGGUAAGGGAAAUCGGCAAAUUGGAUCCGUAACUUCGGGAUAAGGAUUGGCUCUGAGGGUCGAGGCGGUCGGGCUGAGUUUAUCAAGCGAAGCCGUCGGCGGACGUGUCAGGCCUGGGUCGAAGCUCUUCCUCACGGGAGAGCUGAGGCUCGGUCCUCGGACAGAUCGCUGACGGUGGAGCGGCUCGGCAUCGUCUGCGCGCGUGUGCGGCGGCAACGUCGUGUGCGCGGGUCAGAUCUAGGCCGCCAUCGAACGACCAAACUCCGAACUGGCACGAUCCAGGGGAAUCCUACUGUCUAAUUAAAACCAAAGCAUUAUCUAAUUAAAACAAAGCAUUGCGAUGGCCGCAAGUCGGUGCUGACCCAAAUGUGAUUUCUGCCCAGUGCUCUGAAUGUCAAAGUGAAGAAAUUUCAACGAAGCGCGGGUAAACGGCGGGAGUAACUAUGACUCUCUUAAGGUAGCCAAAUGCCUCGUCAUCCUAAUUAGUGAAGCGCACGAUUGGAUUAACGAGAUUCCCACUGUCCCUAUCUACUAUCUAGCGAAAUUAACGAGAUUCCCGCUGUCCCUAUCUACUAUCUAGCGAUCCCACUUGCGAGGGGAACGGGCCUCGUUUUGUCAGCGGGGAAAGAAGAGCCUGUUGAGCUUGACUCUAGUUCGGCAUUGUGGAGUGACAUGAGAGGUGUAGCAUAAGUGGGAGAUGUGGCCUUCGGGCUCAGCGACGAUGAAAUACAACUACUUUCAUGGUCGCUUCCCUUACUCGGUGAAGGGAGUGGGCCGGUCGCCCGGGUGGGAUCUUUAACGGACUCCGUCCGCGGCGUCUCGCUUGAAUUCUUGUGUUGAAGUGCGAGCCGUCCCGGCAGGGGUUGGCGGGCGAGGCGAGGUUGUCGCGGCUUUUCGCCUGUCUCGCGCAGGCGGGGGGUCGUGGUCGGCCGAGCUUUCUUAGUCUGCUUUCCAUCUCCGGGAAAUUAUUCGGUGGUGCGAUCCGGGCUGAGGACAGUGCCGGAUGGGGAGUUUGACUGGGGCGGUACAUCUGUCAAACGAUAACGCAGGUGUCCUAAGGCUGGAUCCGGGAGGAAGGACAGAAACCUCCCGUAGAGCAAAAGGGCAAAUGCCGGCUUGAUCCCGAUUUUCAGUACGAAUACGGACCCGCGAAAGCGCGGCCUAUCGAUCCUUUUGCCAUUCUGAGUUUGAUGAAGCAAGAGGUGUCAGAAAAGUUACCACAGGGAUAACUGGCUUGUGGCAGCCAAGCGCUCAUAGCGACGUCGCUUUUUGAUCCUUCGAUUGUCGGCUCUUCCUAUCAUUGCGAAGCAGUAU